rnacentral:rRNA from 1 species
UACGGAGGGAGCUAGCGUUGUUCGGAAUUACUGGGCGUAAAGCGCACGUAGGCGGCUUUGUAAGUUAGAGGUGAAAGCCCGGGGCUCAACCCCGGAAUUGCCUUUAAGACUGCAUCGCUUGAAUCCGGGAGAGGUGAGUGGAAUUCCGAGUGUAGAGGUGAAAUUCGUAGAUAUUCGGAAGAACACCAGUGGCGAAGGCGGCUCACUGGACCGGUAUUGACGCUGAGGUGCGAAAGCUAGGGGAGCAAACAGG